AACGAACGCUGGCGGCAGGCUUAACACAUGCAAGUCGAACGCAUCCUUCGGGGUGAGUGGCAGACGGGUGAGUAACGCGUGGGAACGUGCCCUUCAGUUCGGGAUAACCCAGGGAAACUUGGGCUAAUACCGGAUACGUGCGAGAGCAGAAAGAUUUAUCGCUGAAGGAUCGGCCCGCGUCUGAUUAGCUAGUUGGUGGGGUAAUGGCCCACCAAGGCGACGAUCAGUAGCUGGUCUGAGAGGAUGAUCAGCCGCAUUGGGACUGAGACACGGCCCAAACUCCUACGGGAGGCAGCAGUGGGGAAUAUUGGACAAUGGGCGCAAGCCUGAUCCAGCCAUGCCGCGUGAGUGAUGAAGGCCUUAGGGUUGUAAAGCUCUUUCGUCCGGGACGAUAAUGACGGUACCGGAAGAAGAAGCCCCGGCUAACUUCGUCCCAGCCGCCGCAGUAA
rnacentral:rRNA from 1 species